CUCCUUUAAGAAAGGGAACGGUUCCUUAUGCAUAUUUAAGAAUGUUUGUCUGCAGCAGUGCCCAGCUGACGCGGGGCCGGAGGCUCACACGCGGGACCCGAAUUCUCGGGGAGUAAAUCAUCCGCGCUUUACACGCACCCUCUGCCAGGGCUCCAGUGGGGAGCCCCUUGCCAUUACGCUAAACACAUGGGACUGGGACAAUAGCUGGAGUGGAUUAUUCAUUCCCGUAGGCAAUACUUCCCUGUAUGGGCUUCAGGAUGCAGUUGGAGGCUCGGGAACAAAGCGGGCAUCUAAUGUCAAGGCUUCUUCCUAGGAAGAAAUAAUUCUGCUGAGACCCCUUGCCUAGGCUUUCGAAGGCUUGCAGAGAAGCAUGGUAGGAAAGCACCAUCCCUGUGGAUAGAAACUCUUCUCUCUGUCAUGUGCCUUGCAAGAAAGGCAGCAAGGGGACACUUGGAGUGAUCUGGUAUCCAGGAGCAGCAAUCCACUUCAUGCUACUGCGGAGGAAAGUUUGUUUCCAAACCAAAUAUGUUAUGGUGCUCCGUACUGGUGUCAAGUCAGUUUGAACCAUCCCAGGUCUUAGAAUAAAGAUCUCCAUUUGUGG